rfam:Jatropha curcas cultivar GZQX0401 scaffold48_139, whole genome shotgun sequence.
CCAGCAGGGAUUGUGUGUAUCGCCAUUUGCUACAAAUAAAUGCACUCUGUUUCUGGAAGAGUUCUCUGCAAAAGCAAAAACCAGCUAUGGAAGAUGGGCAGUUUUUAAAUCAUCUUCCUCAUAUUA